AUUGGGACUGAGAACGGCCCAAACUCCUACGGGAGGCAGCAGUAGAGAAUCUUCGGCAAUGGGGGAAACCCUGACCGAGCGAUACCGCGUGAAUGAUGAAGUAUUUCGGUAUGUAAAAUUCUUUUAUUUGGGAAGAACAUUAUUGAUAGGAAAUGAUCAGUAACUGACGGUACCAAAUGAAUAAGUCCCGGCUAACUAUGUGCCAGCAGCCGCGGUAAUACAUAGGGGACAAGCGUUAUCCGGAAUUAUUGGGCGUAAAGGGUGCGUAGGCGGUUUAUUAAGUUUGAAGUUUAAAUUCAGAGCUCAACUCUGUAUCGCUUCAAAAACUGGUAGACUAGAGUAAAGUAGAGGCAAGUGGAAUUCAAUGUGUAGUGGUAAAAUGCGUAAAUAUAUUGAGGAACACCAGUGGCGAAGGCGGCUUGCUGGGCUUUAACUGACGCUAAGGCACGAAAGCGUGGGGAGCAAACAGGAUUAGAUACCCUGGUAGUCCACGCCGUAAACGAUGAGUACUAGGUGUCGGAGUUAUUCGGUGCCGCAGUUAACGCAAUAAGUACUCCGCCUGAGUAGUACGUGCGCAAGCAUAAAACUCAAAGGAAUUGGCGGGACCUCGCACAAGCGGUGGAUCAUGUUGUUUAAUUCGAGGAUACGCGAAGAACCUUACCAAGUCUUGACAUCCCUGGCAAAGAUAUAGAAAUAUAUUGGAGGUUAUCCAGGUGACAGGUGGUGCAUGGUUGUCGUCAGCUCGUGUCGUGAGAUGUUGGGUUAAGUCCCGCAACGAGCGCAACUCCUAUCGUUAUUUACCAUCAUUAAGUUGGGGACUAUAACGAGACUGCCAGUGACAAACUGGAGGAAGGUGGGAACGACGUCAAAUCAUCAUGCCCCUUAUGAUUUGGGCUACAAACGUGAUACAAUGGUUGGUACAGAGGGAAGCGAGAGCGCGAGCUUAAGCAAACCCCAGAAAAACAAUCUCAGUUCGGAUUGGAGUCUGCAACUCGACUCCAUGAAGCCGGAAUCGCUAGUAAUCGCAGAUCAGAACGCUGCGGUGAAUACGUUCUCGAGGUUUGCACACACCGCCCGUCAAACCACGAAAGUUAGUAAUACCCAAAACCGGUGGCCUAACCCAAUAGGGAAGGAGCCGUCUAAGGUAGGGCUAAUGAUUGGGGUUAAGUCGUAACAAGGUAUCCCUACGAGAACGUGGGGAUG
rnacentral:rRNA from 1 species